GAAAUGCGAUAAGUAAUGUGAAUUGCAGAAUUCAGUGAAUCAUCGAAUCUUUGAACGCAGAUUGCGCCCGCCAGAAUUCUGGCGGGCAUGCCUGUUCGAGCGUCAUUUCAACCCUCGAGCUCCCCUUUCGGGGGGAGCCCGGCGUUGGGGACCCGGCGCUAACAACGCCGGCCCCGAAAUGGAGUGGCGGCCCGUCCGCGGCGACCUCUGCGUAGUAACAACCACUCGCACCGGGACCCGGGCGCGGCCACGCCGUAAAACACCCCACCUUCCGAAUGUUGACCUCGAAUCAGGUAGGAAUACCCGCUGAACUUAAGC
rnacentral:misc_RNA from 1 species